rnacentral:rRNA from 1 species
AGUGAACGCUGGCGGUAGGCCUAACACAUGCAAGUCGAACGGCCGCACAGUAAGAGCUUGCUCUUACGGGUGGCGAGUGGCGGACGGGUGAGGAAUACAUCGGAAUCUACUUUUUCGUGGGGGAUAACGUAGGGAAACUUACGCUAAUACCGCAUACGACCUACGGGUGAAAGCAGGGGAUCUUCGGACCUUGCGCGAUUGAAUGAGCCGAUGUCGGAUUAGCUAGUUGGCGGGGUAAAGGCCCACCAAGGCGACGAUCCGUAGCUGGUCUGAGAGGAUGAUCAGCCACCAUGGAACUGAGACACGGUCCAGACUCCUACGGGAGGCAGCAGUGGGGAAUAUUGGACAAUGGGCGCAAGCCUGAUCCAGCCAUACCGCGUGGGUGAAGAAGGCCUUCGGGUUGUAAAGCCCUUUUGUUGGGAAAGAAAAGCAGCAGGUUAAUACCCCGCUGUUCUGACGGUACCCAAAGAAUAAGCACCGGCUAACUUCGUG